rnacentral:rRNA from 1 species
ACCACCCUUUAAUGUUUGAUGUUCUAACGUUGACCCGUAAUCCGGGUUGCGGACAGUGUCUGGUGGGUAGUUUGACUGGGGCGGUCUCCUCCUAAAGAGUAACGGAGGAGCACGAAGGUUGGCUAAUCCUGGUCGGACAUCAGGAGGUUAGUGCAAUGGCAUAAGCCAGCUUGACUGCGAGCGUGACGGCGCGAGCAGGUGCGAAAGCAGGUCAUAGUGAUCCGGUGGUUCUGAAUGGAAGGGCCAUCGCUCAACGGAUAAAAGGUACUCCGGGGAUAACAGGCUGAUACCGCCCAAGAGUUCAUAUCGACGGCGGUGUUUGGCACCUCGAUGUCGGCUCAUCACAUCCUGGGGCUGAAGUAGGUCCCAAGGGUAUGGCUGUUCGCCAUUUAAAGUGGUACGCGAGCUGGGUUUAGAACGUCGUGAGACAGUUCGGUCCCUAUCUGCCGUGGGCGCUGGAGAAUUGAGGGGGGCUGCUCCUAGUACGAGAGGACCGGAGUGGACGCAUCACUGGUGUUCGGGUUGUCAUGCCAAUGGCACUGCCCGGUAGCUAAAUGCGGAAGAGAUAAGUGCUGAAAGCAUCUAAGCACGAAACUUGCCCCGAGAUGAGUUCUCCCUGACUCCUUGAGAGUCCUGAAGGAACGUUGAAGACGACGACGUUGAUAGGCCGGGUGUGUAAGCGCAGCGAUGCGUUGAGCUAACCGGUACUAAUGAACCGUGAGGCUUAACCUUACAACGCCGAAG